rnacentral:ncRNA from 1 species
AUCUAUACAAUUGAAUAAUAAAAACUCAGUGCAGAAUUACUGAACCAGUAAGCUGAGGUGCGAUGGACAUGAAAAGGUCAGGACAAACAACGAAACAGGGAUACCUGUGGAUAGUCACUGUUUCAAUAAUCGUGAGGUUAUUGAUGGAGAGGGUGGAACCCCAAACCUAAGUCGUAGCGCCUUUGCUAUUGCAAGUAAAAGCAGAGUGCGAGUCGAGUCAUAAUAGAAGCGGUUGUUAAUAGCUUCCGCCGAAUCGGAGUUAGGUGCUAACGAGUGGUGUCGAGUACAAACCUACGAAAUACCAAUAAGGCUUUUGUCGUGAAGCGAAGAAAUUCGUGUAUAAGGCUUGCAUGUCGCGUACGAGUAGCUCAAGACAAGACUCAGGAAUUAGAAUAUAAGUUACCAAGUUGAUAAAGGGUAUUUAAAAAUUCUAUGCCGUAAGGUGAGUGAAAGUUGUGGGUAACCAAUCCCGCAUGGGACGAUGGCUUUGGAGAGGUCUCCAGCUGGGGUAUGUUAGGUCAAAGUCGCUCUUUGGUCUUCGGACAUAUCUCCCCAUUGGCUGAAUAUACUUGAAGAUAGCAUAAGGUAGGGUGAAAAUCCUUUAUUAUUCGAUAAAUACU